AGCAAGCUCUGCAUUGAUCAUUCACUAUUAAGUGAAUGUCUUGCUCCUCAGAAGGCUUAAAUGGAAGAAUGUAUUAGGAGAGUCACACCAAUGUGGUUAAAAGAAGGAAGAUCAGAUAGCCACCAACCUUUCAAGGACAGCGAGGACCAAAUGAAAGAAGACACAGAAGGAGGUUAGAACAGUGCCUGGCUCGCAGUUCGUGCUCAGUGAUGUCGGCUAUGCUGCCACUACCGUCGGGACUGAUGAAGAAGCAUGCAGGGCCAUUAGACUCCCUCUGCUGGACCUAGAGGUCCCAGACUCUUCCAGGGACUUGGGACAUGGACAAACCAAGGUGAAUCAGUCCCCUUAGCUGAACUGCAGAAUUUCAUUCUAAUCCCAGGAUGAGAAAAGGAAAAUAGGUUCGUAUCAUGGAUUUUUCAAGUCA